rnacentral:rRNA from 1 species
GAUGAACGCUGGCGGCGUGCUUAACACAUGCAAGUCGAACGGGAAUUCUUUUAUUGAAACUUCGGUCGAUUUAAUUUAAUUCUAGUGGCGGACGGGUGAGUAACGCGUGGGUAACCUGCCUUAUACAGGGGGAUAACAGUCAGAAAUGGCUGCUAAUACCGCAUAAGCGCACAGAGCUGCAUGGCUCAGUGUGAAAAACUCCGGUGGUAUAAGAUGGACCCGCGUUGGAUUAGCUGGUUGGUGGGGUAACGGCCCACCAAGGCGACGAUCCAUAGCCGGCCUGAGAGGGUGAACGGCCACAUUGGGACUGAGACACGGCCCAGACUCCUACGGGAAGCAGCAGUGGGGAAUAUUGCACAAUGGGGGAAACCCUGAUGCAGCGACGCCGCGUGAAGGAAGAAGUAUCUCGGUAUGUAAACUUCUAUCAGCAGGGAAGAUAGUGACGGUACCUGACUAAGAAGCCCCGGCUAACUACGUG